CGUAGCAAUACCUUUUCGGCCUCGAUCCGGUGCCUUUCGGUCACUUUCCGACCGGAAUUCUUGUAUUUUUAGACUCCUCACAACUCGAGCUUCGCGUAGGCCCUUCCAGAUUCGAAUUCCGACGCUGUUGGCAAGACCGGCUUUCAGACCCCAGUGCUUUUCGGCCGUGCGAAAUAUUACAAUUUCGACUCGGUAUAAUUUUAUUUAGACCUUAAAAAUUAUGUUGUAAUUUUAGAAAAAUAUUGUGGCUAUUAAUUAUUAGUGAUGGAUAAACUAAAAAUUAUUUGAAUUUAAUUAUUUGUGUUUGUGAUGUGUUGCAGAGUCAGAAAAAUUAAUGCAGUUUUGGUUGCCCGACUCCCGUUAAUUAAUCGCAGUAUAUUUGAAGUACUUUUUGGCAGGUUUUGGACCCGUUUUAUAGGAAAUAAACGUCUGUAAUUUAGGAGAGGUUCCGCCGAAUUUUCAAACAAAAUUUUCGAGUUUAAAGUAAUUUCAAGCAGUCUAAUCUAGGGGUCUAGGCCUAGGGAAAAAUUUAAGAUUUUCUAUUAACUAAGUGUUUUCGUGAAUAGAUAAUCCAUCCUCCUCAUCGCCUGCGCCUCCCAGCUGGUCGCCGCCGUUCAGCAGCCCUCCUCCUCCUUCUCCCUCCUUUCCACCGACGCCGACAAAGGAAGAAGGGGUUGCCAUCGUCGGUUUGGCCUCCUGCCGGCGUCCUUUCGGUAAACCGACACCGAAAUCGGACUCCCCACCCC
rnacentral:lncRNA from 1 species